UACGUAGGGCGCAAGCGUUAUCCGGAAUUAUUGGGCGUAAAGAGCUUGUAGGCGGUUUGUCGCGUCUGCCGUGAAAAUUCGAGGCUCAACCUCGAACUUGCGGUGGGUACGGGCAGACUAGAGUGUGGUAGGGGAGACUGGAAUUCCUGGUGUAGCGGUGAAAUGCGUAGAUAUCGGAAGGAACACCAGUGGCGAAAGCGGCUUCCUGGUCCAGCACCGACGUUCAGGCACGAAAGCGUGGGGAGCAAACAGG
rnacentral:rRNA from 1 species